rnacentral:rRNA from 1 species
AUGUCGACUCCCACAGUGGCUUCCACAUACGGCUCUACGUCGACACGCUACUCUCGGUCGACUCUACACACAGCUUCCACGGGUGGCGGAGACUUCUUAUUAUCGGCAGGUGGUUCUACCUCAUCCUCUUCCGCCACAUCCCUAUCUCCUCGUGAGAUUGCACAUCUACAGUCUCUGCUUGCUACUUGGGAUUCUUCACCGACAAGUUUUGCAGGUUCCGUGACUGACUCUUCUGGCACUGAGAAACCACCUUCUACUCAUUUAGGUACAUCCCCAUGGAUUCUUGAUAUCGGAGCAUCUUUUCAUAUGACAUGA